rnacentral:rRNA from 1 species
GUCUAAGGCCAUGCCAUCCUGAACAAACCCGAUGUGUGAUCUCAGAAGUUAAUCAGGGUCGGGCCUGGUAAGUACUUGGAUGGGAGACUACCUAGCAAAACCAGGUGCUGUAGGCA